UACGGAGGGUGCAAGCGUUAUCCGGAUUCACUGGGUCUAAAGGGUGCGUAGGCGGACAAGUAAGUCAGUGGUGAAAUCUCCGGGCUUAACCCGGAAACUGCCAUUGAUACUAUUUGUCUUGAAUACCCUGGAGGUGAGCGGAAUAUGUCAUGUAGCGGUGAAAUGCUUAGAUAUGACAUAGAACACCCAUUGCGAAGGCAGCUCACUACGGGAAUAUUGACGCUGAGGCACGAAAGCGUGGGGAUCAAACAGG
rnacentral:rRNA from 1 species